CUUGUUUCACUCUCAAAAGACUAAACAAAUUAACCAAAAAUAAUUAUUUAUGCCCUAACUUUAGCAAUUUGCCUUCAUCCCUUCUUUCUUGCCCUUUCCUUAGGGUUUCUUGUGGGUCUUUCUUUUUUCAUUUUCAUGUGUUAUUUUUAUCUUUUUGACCCAAACAUCUCUCCUUUAAUAUGUUUGCCUCUUGUCUACAUAAUACAUAUAUACAUCUGAAUCUCUCUCAUCUCAUAAUUGUUUAUAUAAACCAUUUCUCCUCCUCUCACAGUCACCUUCCAUAUCUCCCUUUUCUCUCUCUCUGGAUCCUCAAUCUAGACCCUCAUAUUUUGUUUGUUGAUUCUCAUCUUCCCUUUUGUAUUUUCAAGAAAUCGUCAUUUAGGGUUUCAAGAACAAUAACCUCAAUUCUUCCUGAGGAAAGAGAGAAAACAAAAGAUCUCCUCAAUCUCAUUUUCUUACAUGCAAAUUACAAUUCAUGCUUUAGAUUGUUUCUAUAGUCCUCCAUAUUUGCUGUUUAUAUCUGUUCAUGCAUGUCCAGGUGGAGAUCUAGCUAGAUAUAGCUUCACUUAAAAAUAGAAUAAGAAAUCCGUUUUGGGCAAUUAGUUUCAAUACAUAAUAACAUGUAUAGGCAUCAUGACAUAUAUGCAUAUUUAUGUUGAAAUAUGAUAUAUUUGUAUAUAUGCCUGGCUCCCUGUAUGCCAUACACUAAGUUCAUCGAUCCUCGGCGACCUCCGUGGAUGGCGUAUGAGGAGCCAAGCAUAAUCUCAUCAUAUAUAUAUUUUCUAAUUACGUUAUGGUACUAAUUUGUUGAGCUUGUUUUGUAGGAAUCUAUGUUAAUUACUCCACCCAAUCAUGUGAAAAAGAUUAGAAGGUACCUCACUAAACCGUCUAGCUACCACCUAUGCUUCUUCUUGUGGUCUCGAAAUAUUCCACUGACAGAUAUUUUGGUGAGGUCUUUCGAUUCGUAUUUUCCAGUACAAAUGUUUGUCAAGUCACAGCACUUUUUACGAGAAUUUCUUCUGUGAUAACAUCAAUAUAUAGCUCAUUUGCUUAUAAAAAGAAUUGUUAAUAAUAUCGAUAGCUAAUAUAUCCCCGUACGGUUCAUAUUCUUGUAUCGUAUCAAUCAUAUCGAUUAUAUAAAUUUAUUUGUAUAUGUACUUGUGACCUACCCUUAAUUAUAGCUUAUUUGUUGUAUUUAUUGAAUUGUAGUUUUAAUCUAACAAUUAUCUACACAUGCACGAAGUUGCAUAACACAUUUCUGACCCGUUUCCGUGAGGUGUUGCAAUGAUUGCAUUUGGUUUGUCUAUGUCACAAUGAAAAUUUCCACGUAUUGUAAUUUUGUCACAAAAAUAGUGAUUAAGGUAGAUGUUAUAAAUAACUGAAGUUCAAGAAUUCAAGAGUUUUGUUUAACAAAAUAGAGUUGCUAUUUUUGUGUAUAUUUGCUUUGAUUAGGUGAAAUUCUUUAGAUAAACUGAAAUUGUAUAUAUUUAUGUUAGAACAGUGAUAAAACUAAUCAUUCAAGCUGGUAACACUAUUGAAACAAAGUUAAAUAGUCCUUUAACAUAUUUUUUUUCAUGAAGUGCUGAAUUUUCAUAAACAUAAAAGCAAAAGGAUUGCAUUUGGUUUGUUUAUGUCACAAUGAAAAUUUCCAUGUAUUGUAGUUUUGUAACAAAUAUAGACUGGUUAAGGUAGAUGUUAUAAAUAAUUGAAGUUCAAGAAUUCAAGAUUUUUGAUUAACAAAAUAGAUUUGCUGUUUUUGUGUAUAUUUACUUUGUUUAGGUUAAUUUCCUUAAAUCAACUGAACUUGUAUAUAUUUAUGUAAGAACAAUGAUAAAACGAAUCAUUCAAACUAGUAACGCUAUUGAAACAAAGUUAAAUAGUCAUUUAACAUAUUUUUUUCACGAAGUGCUGAAUUUACAUAAACAUAUGAAAGCAAAAGGAUACAAUUAGUCAUAUGUCUGCUGUACACAAUACCAAAGUCUAGCCGUUAAUAUAUAUUUACACUAUAUGUAAAUAUAUUGACGACAAUUCAUCACAUACCCGUCGUUAAUUGUUUUUGGGCAAAAUUAAUACUCAUUAUGAAGUUUUGAUCUUUUAAUGAUCUUAUUGCAUAAGUACGUUAAAAGGAUAUGUAAGAGAACUUCAAUGAGUGAUACAAACAUUAAGAGGGCUUAUUUAAUUCAUUUUGUUUGUCUGGUUCUAUAUCCAAACCACUAUUAUUUCUUUCACUAACUAAAUUUGCAUGAUAUUAUAUCUAGAAAAAAUAAUAUAUAAAUCUUACAUUUUGAAAUUAUACUAUUAAACGCUCGGUGAAACCCUAGGAAAUAUUUGAUAUGCCUGCAAUUAUUCCAAGCAUCCUCUUAACCACGCAUGAGACUAUUUGAAACAAACACAUAUGACAAUGUGUAACUUAUUUUUUGGUAUUCUUAACUUAAUAAGAUUUUUUUAAUAUCGCAAUGUAUUAUAUACAAACAUGAACUAUUUGUUCUUAGAAGUGCAGAGGAAAUAUUUCAACUAUAACUCAAAGUUAUAUAUACCAAUUAUACUGUUUAUAGUCUCAAUUAUUUGAUUUUGCCAUUUAGUCAAAAUAUUGGUUAUGUAAACUUGUAGUACAUCACUUCACUGAACAUCUAUUUACUUUAUAUUUUUUAUAUAAGAAGUGAUGUAGAGACUAUAAAAUCAUGGUUUGUAGGUUAAUAAUGAAAGGAAAAUCUAUAAAUAAAUAAAGUUUGUUUUUUUGCUUUUGGAAUAAUCUUUUGUUUAAGGAUCAACAUGUAUUUUUUUUUUGAUCAAAAUGAUCAACAUGUAUAUGUAAUCACUAAUCACUAAAGAAAAUGUGUGUUAAAAUAAUAGUGUAAGAGAUGGACCACACUAGUCCCCCCUAUACACCUUGCGAUUGGACAUUAGUGAAUGAUCAAUCUAUUUUUCUAUUCAGUCAAAGUAGGUCAGCAAAAAUUUCAACAACCGAGGGCCACGCUCAUCAUUUUGACAAAAGUUUAAUUCGAAUACUAGACUAUUAUCGAUCUGUGUGAUGUGAUAUGUGUUUUUUUACAUAUGAGACAGUUGCUGCCUCUUUGUGGUUAUUAACUCAAUUGUAUAUUUAAAUCAUAUAUGUAAAGAUGUCAGUUGGGCAGUUGGGCUAGUGUGGUCUGGUCCGAGUCCAAAGAAUUUCCGGACCAUCUUCACAGAAAAUUUGGGUUGAUUGUUGGGGAAAUUUUACUUAUACACUUUUUAUGAUACCACUUUACAACUUUACCAUCAAUCAAAAGGCAUUUUCAAAAAUACCACAUUCAUUAAUGUGUAAAAGACAAUAUUGCCCUUAACUUAUCUUCAACUCAUUUCUCUCACUCUCGUAAAUCUCCGUCCGUCGUCUAUCGUCUCUGUUCAGAUCCGCUGUUUUCCGUUCAGAUCCGCCGUCUCCGUUCAGAUUCGCCGUCUAUUCGCCGUCUCUGUCCUCCAAAUCCACCGUCUCUGUCCUGAACCGACGUCUUCGUCCAGAUUCGUCGUCUUCGUCCAGAUCCACGAAGCAAUCGAGAUCGAGACUCAAAACUUCAAAUGUUGAAUCCUCAGCAAGAAUCACAACCUGCGUUGGGAGAGAGAUCGUCUCGUUCGUCUGAGCUUGUCGAGUCUGUCAGCUUUGCCGGAGAACUUCUCGGCAUCGUCAGAUCUCGCCGGAAAACUCGUUAGCGUCGUCAGAUCUCACCGGAAACUCAUCAGCAUCAGGAGAGAGAUCGUCUCAUUCGUGUUUCGCCAGAGAACUCAUCAGCAUCGUCAGAUUUCGCAAGAGAACUCGUCUUCGUUGUCAAAGCUCACCGGAAAACUCGUCAGAAUCACCGGAUCUCGUCGGAUUGAUUAUCGGAUAGUGGAAAAGAAGAUAAUAGUUGUAGUUUUAAUUAGAUAGGGGUAUAAUUGUAUUUUGCCUAUUAAAAUUUUAAUGGUAAAGUUGGUUAAAGUAUUAAUGAAAAGUGGUACAUUGAAAGUGGUAUUUGUGACAAUUUCCCUUGAUUGUUCACUUUGGA